ACCUGGCUGGCUCAGUUGGAGGAGCAUGGGACUCCUAAUCUCAGGGUUGUGAGUUCAAGCCACAUGUUGGGUA
rnacentral:tRNA from 1 species